CCUGCAUCGAAAGGCAUAAGAAUGGUUGAAGAUGUAAACACCUCUCCAGCGCAUUGGUUGGAGGAUACCAUAAAAAAAGAUGAAAAGUGAAUUGUACUGGUUGAAGAGAUUGUGCUGUGUCAGCGGAAUUUCAAAGUCAAAGCACGCAAGUCACUUUUAACUGCCUGGCACAGAAAAUGGAGUGAAAUCUCUCUUGUUUCCUCCAGCUCUCCCGGUUAUGGGGCUGACAUCACCGAGAGAUGAGAGAGAAGCUUUUGUGGCACCGUUUCAAGAGCCGAGCACCUUUGACUUAGUCACAAAGGUAAUAACGACACAAGAACUGUUAAAAACGAACCGAGCUGGCUGGAACUGGAAUUACAACAGAGUAACUUCUUGCUGUGCCCAGGGGGGAUUGCUGAGCUAACAAGCACUGGCAGCUGGAUCAGGAAUGGGUGCGAGGACGUCUGUGACAGCUGAGAACGGCUUCACGAACAUGAGAUCGAACAUGGCCAGUGGACAGGACGGCAAGGUGAAAAUCUUUUUUACCUCCUUGCCAAUCCCUUCCCUCUGCUCAUGAUUGGCUGGUCAGGAUGGCACGGAAUGUUCUGCUUACCACCAGCUUUGGAAGGAUCAGUUUCUUGUUUUAUUUCCCCCCUUAUAUGCAUCUGGGCGAAGGGCUAGAGUUCUACUUGCUGUCAGGCUGGCGGCAAAGCCAUAAAAAAUUUCACUUCACUUUCAGCCCACACCCUGUGCCAUCCCCUCCCCCCCCAUCACAACCCCUUUUUCUCCCCUCCUGUGGUCAAUUACUAGCAGACAUCUGUGUCCUGAGUCCAUGUUGCACACGUACAUAAGACACAUAAA